rnacentral:rRNA from 1 species
CCUACGGGGCGCAGCAGUGAGGAAUAUUGGUCAAUGGACGAGAGUCUGAACCAGCCAAGUAGCGUGAAGGAUGACUGCCCUAUGGGUUGUAAACUUCUUUUAUAUGGGAAUAAAAUGUUCCACGUGUGGGAUUUUGUAUGUACCAUAUGAAUAAGGAUCGGCUAACUCCGUGCCAGCAGCCGCGGUAAUACGGAGGAUCCGAGCGUUAUCCGGAUUUAUUGGGUUUAAAGGGAGCGUAGGUGGAUUGUUAAGUCAGUUGUGAAAGUUUGCGGCUCAACCGUAAAAUUGCAGUUGAAACUGGCAGUCUUGAGUACAGUAGAGGUGGGCGGAAUUCGUGGUGUAGCGGUGAAAUGCUUAGAUAUCACGAAGAACUCAGAUUGCGAAGGCAGUUCACUGGACUGCAACUGACACUGAGGCUCGAAAGUGUGGGUAUCAAACAGGAUUAGAUACCCCUGUAGUC